AAUUCCUUAUUUUAGCCUUUUUCUUUUGAUGGGUGUGUUUCCUAACACUAAAAACAAAACCCAUUCAUCGUUUGUUCAUUUAUCAUCAGAGCGACCAUUAGUGUCCACUGGCGACUAGCAGCCCACCUCCACUGAUUUCCGUCCUAAAGCCUCCGCACUCCACCGUCAGCCACUAUUCUCCGCCGAGCCAUCAUACGUGACUGCGACGCGAUCGUAUACUUAAUACCUCCAGAAGGAAACUCAAAUAAAUUGGAAAAAGCCCCCGUGGACCGUGGUGGGAAUCCAACCCCCAAUGUAUGCAUAUUCGAAGGCCCUUAUCACAUUUGUCUGAUGCCAUUGGGCUAAAGCUAGUAGUGGACUACCAAUUAAUCACCAUUGUCAGGCUACACAGCCUAGCUAACUUGUAAAUAAUUUGCAAUAGUAUAAUAGUGACGAACUUAUAUAUGUAAAUAAA